GAUGAACGCUGGCGGCGUGCCUAAUACAUGCAAGUCGAGCGAACAGACGAGGAGCUUGCUCCUCUGACGUUAGCGGCGGACGGGUGAGUAACACGUGGAUAACCUACCUAUAAGACUGGGAUAACUUCGGGAAACCGGAGCUAAUACCGGAUAAUAUAUUGAACCGCAUGGUGCAAUAGUGAAAGACGGUUUUGCUGUCACUUAUAGAUGGAUCCGCGCCGCAUUAGCUAGUUGGUAAGGUAACGGCUUACCAAGGCAACGAUGCGUAGCCGACCUGAGAGGGUGAUCGGCCACACUGGAACUGAGACACGGUCCAGACUCCUACGGGAGGCAGCAGUAGGGAAUCUUCCGCGAUGGGCGAAAGCUUGACGGAGCAACGCCGCGUGAGUGAUGAAGGUCUUCGGAUCGUAAAACUCUGUUAUUAGGGAAGAACAAAUGUGUAAGUAACUAUGCACGUCUUGACGGUACCUAAUCAGAAAGCCACGGCUAACUACGUG
rnacentral:rRNA from 1 species